AUGAUUGCUCGGUUAUGCUGUUCGCUCAUGUCUCCACAUGCAAACGACCUUUGUUAUCCGGUGGGUUUGCCUACCGAAACGCUGCUCGUCGGGAGUGUAGAGGGAUUGAUCUUGGUUUAUAAAACAGACAUCGAGUUAGGUAAGCUUGUGCCUUUGGACAACAUCAACAACUAUGCCAUCUUUAUGGGUCAUCAAAGGUGCCUGGCUGUCGAUGCUGAUAAGUUCCCAGGCAUUGAGGCAAACUGCAUCUACUUCACUGAACAAUUGGGUUCGUCCGCUCAUAUCUUCAAGUGCAACAACAAGGACAGGAAAGUAGAGAGGAUCUUUGAAGCUGCCGAAAAAAUGGUUUUCGAUUUGCUUAAUGACGGCAAGUCGAGCUUGGUUCUUCUUAGUACCUUGAAUUGGGUCCAGGGUCAGAACAGGGUAUGA
rnacentral:rRNA from 1 species